AGUUUUCUCGGACGGCGACAGAAACUAAGAAAUACAACGUAACAGCCCAUGAUGAUCAUGCAGCCUUCCCCCUUUUGCUGUUAAAGCGCCUCUUCGUUCCUUCUUCGUCUCCCUCCAAGAGAACUUCACUCCGGUUGAGUCCGGAAGGAAUUAGUCUUUACGCUGCAUAUACAUCCAUGGGUUUCUGCAGUUCGAGAUCUGCAAGGAUUUGGGAUGAUAUAGAAUUGUCGAGCUCCCCGACCACCACUAGCAUUGGAGCCACCAAGCAGAAGUACAACUCUAGUGGGAUUCUAUCUCAAGUAUCCAGUCCGACCAUGAAACCGCGGAGCUCCCUCGCGUCUAAAGUGAACUCCACAGUUUUCUCUGAGGACUAUGAUAGAAGGAAGAGAAAAAUACUCGACCCUCGUGGGAAAGUGAUUCGCCAGUGGAACAGCAUCUUCUUGGUCGCCUGCAUAGUUUCCUUGUUCGUCGACCCUCUCUUCUUCUACUUGCAGUUGGUGUGGGAGGACCAGUGUAUUAACAUCGGGAUCCCCCUUGAGGUCACCCUCACAAUCGUCAGAUCCAUCACCGAUAUCUUCUACAUGAUUCAGAUCUUCAUCAAGUUCCGAACUGCCUAUGUCGCCCCUUCUUCCCGUGUUUUCGGUAGGGGAGAGCUCGUCAUCGGCUCUUCAAAGAUCACAGCAAGGUAUCUCCGAACGGGCUUCUUUAUUGACCUAAUUGCCGCUCUUCCGCUUCCUCAGCUGUUGAUAUGGAUAAUUAUCCCAAAUUUAAAGGGCUCUUCUAUCACUAACACAAAGAACGUGCUUCGGUUCAUUAUCAUCUUCCAAUACCUCCCGAGACUGUUCCUUAUAUAUCCUCUCUCGUCGCAAAUCAUAAAGGCCCAUGGUGUAGUCACUGAAACCGCAUGGGCAGGAGCGGCUUAUAAUCUCACAUUGUAUAUGUUGGCGAGUCAUGUCUUGGGAGCUUGUUGGUACCUUUUAUCAAUUGAACGGCAGGAAGCCUGCUGGAGAAGUGUGUGCGAUCAUUAUAAACCAACAUGUGAAUAUUCCUUCUUCGAUUGCCAGAGUCUUGAUAAUCCUAGGAGGGCUGCUUGGCUCCAAUUGAGCAAUGUGUCAAGUUUGUGCAGUCCGACGAACAAAUAUUAUCAGUUCGGGAUCUAUGGUGAUGCCUUGAACCAAGACGUCACGAGUUCAUCCUUCUUUCACAAGUACUUCUACUGCCUCUGGUGGGGCCUGAAGAACCUCAGUUCUCUCGGGCAAAGUCUAUAUACGAGCACAUUUGUUGGGGAAAUUUCGUUUGCCAUAAUAAUAGCAAUUCUUGGGCUUGUACUCUUCGCUUUGCUCAUUGGGAACAUGCAGAGGUACCUUCAAUCGACGACCCUCCGCUUGGAAGAAUGGAGGAUCAAGAGGAACGACAUCGAACAGUGGAUGCAUCACAGGCAACUGCCUCUCGAGUUACGGGAAGCCGUGAGGAGAUAUGACCAGUACAAGUGGGUGGCUACCCGGGGAGUUGAUGAAGAGUCCCUCCUGAGAGGCCUUCCUAUGGAACUGAGAAGGGACGUCAAACGGCACCUCUGCUUCGAUCUCGUUCGACGAGUUCCUUUGUUCGAGCAAAUGGACGAGAGAAUGCUUGAUGCAAUCUGUGAGAGGCUAAAACCUGCAUUAUGCACCGAAAGAACUAUUCUCGUGCGAGAAGGUGAUCCUGUGAACGAGAUGCUCUUCAUCAUCCGAGGCCAUCUCGACUCCUACACCACCAAUGGUGGCCGAACAGGAUUCUUCAACUCGUCCCGGAUUGGACCGGGUGAAUUCUGUGGUGAAGAGCUCCUCACGUGGGCCCUGGAGGGUCCGCAUCCAAGUGUGAUCUUUCCUUCCUCGACCCGAACGGUCAAGGCAAUCACUGAGGUGGAGGCCUUCGCCCUCAAAGCGGAUGACCUCAAGUUCGUGGCAGCCCAAUUCAGGAAGCUCCACAGCAAGAAAAUCCGAUACAAGUUGAGGUUCUAUUCCCAUCAGUGGAGGACAUGGGCAGCUUGCUUCAUUCAAGUCGCGUGGCGGAGGCAUAAACACAGGCAAGCGAUUGCCGAGCUCAAGGAAAAGGAAAGCUCAGGUUUCAAUCACGAGGCCCAACAUUCCAUCGGCAGCUCUGCAAGCAUUAAAAGGGUCUAUGGGCAUUCAGGUUCGAGUAUACGUGCUGGUGUGGUUAGCUCAUUACAGAAGCCACCGGAGCCCGAUUUUCCUGCAGAUGAGGACUGAAACCUGACCUUGUACAGGUGUUAAUUAGUUGUGUAUGUAUUGGGAACAAUUCUUUCAUUAACUCCGUCUUCAAGGAAGAGAGAAAUACAUCAUACCGAUCGAUGAAGGCGAAGCAAUGUAAUGAGAAGGAAGGAAGUUUAGUUCUUUCGGUGCAAUACAUCUCAUUUCUUCCGGAUACACCCAUAUAACUGCAAACUGAGACUUCAUCUCAGUGAUGCUGCUCGUAAAAACUCUAUAAAAUAUGAAGCAUAUCGAUGACGUUACGAUUGGUAAUAAACGGGUACCCAGCAAACUGCCAAGUGCUCCUCUUGGAAACCUCGGCCAAGUGACAGAGAAGGCAGGGAAGAGAAGGAAACAGGAGGCUGCUGCAGGCUCAUGAGCCAGCCCAUAAUUUCUGACCACAGAAAACGAGAAAGAGAAGGCCUUGCUUCAUUCAUCAAUAAUUAUUGGAUCUCUCUCAGGCCUUGUGUAGUUUGUCUACUGCUAUACAUCAUUCAUCCCUUCAAUUUCUCGACCGACCAUUCUAAUCAGAAUUUAUCUCUUUACUUUAAACAGUGGAACCUUUUACGCAUAUAUAGCUUUUCAUGUCACGAUUCCACCUUGAUGGAUGCAAUUAUCCUCAUCGAAUUUGUGAUCCUGAGUUUAUAUAGCAAAAGGAGUAAAGUGAAAGUUUAAUUAAAAAAAAAAAAAAGAAAAGCGGGGAGAAUCUAUCAAUCAAAGGAAACAAAAGAAUUGGGCCGACCCAGCAAAGGAGUCCUACCCAUUUUUCCACUAUAACCACCCGCUCACCGGUAAGUUGCGUUGCAGAUUCAGAAA